GCCGGGUGUGGUGGCACACACCUGUAAUCCCAGCUACUCAGGAGGCUGAGGCAGGAGAAUCGCUUGCACCUGGGAGGCAGAAGUUGCAGUGAGCUGAGAUCACACCAUUGCACUCCAGCCUGGGUGACAGAGCGAGACUCUGUCUCAA
rnacentral:SRP_RNA from 2 species